rnacentral:rRNA from 1 species
GAUCAUGGCUCAGGAUGAACGCUAGCUACAGGCUUAACACAUGCAAGUCGAGGGGCAGCAUGAACUUAGCUUGCUAAGUUUGAUGGCGACCGGCGCACGGGUGAGUAACACGUAUCCAACCUGCCGAUGACUCGGGGAUAGCCUUUCGAAAGAAAGAUUAAUACCCGAUGGCAUAGUUCUUCCGCAUGGUAGAACUAUUAAAGAACUUCGGUCAUCGAGUGGGGAUGCGUUCCUAG